UACGUAGGGGUCUAGCGUUGUCCGGAUUUAUUGGGCGUAAAGAGCUCGUAGGCGGCUUGUUGCGUCGACCGUGAAAACCCGGGGCUCAACUUCGGGCUUGCGGUCGAUACGGGCGGGCUAGAGUUCGGUAGGGGAGACUGGAAUUCCUGGUGUAGCGGUGAAAUGCGCAGAUAUCAGGAGGAACACCGGUGGCGAAGGCGGGUCUCUGGGCCGAUACUGACGCUGAGGAGCGAAAGCGUGGGGAGCGAACAGG
rnacentral:rRNA from 1 species